rnacentral:lncRNA from 1 species
ACUUAUUUUUACUCUUAUAUUGUAUAUAUAUAUAAUAUAUAUUAUUUAUUUACUGUGUGAUCAUUAGUGUAGCUACGCAAAUUUACAUAUACAUGAUAUAUAUUUGGCUGCAUAGCUAUAUAAUUAUGACUACGCAGAUAAAUAUACACAUAUAAUAAUAAAUAAAUUUAUAUAUAUUCGUAAUUAUGAUUAUGUCGAAAAAUAUUAUGUACAUAUGUAUGUAUAUAUACAUGUAUAUGAAAAGGCAGUUUUAAGGUCAUUUUUAUUGAUAAAAAGGCAGUUUUCAAGACUUCUGGCAGUUGUCAGGUCAAUUUUGAAAUUUUGUCAUCGAAAGCGUUCAGGACCGUUCUUGACUGCGUUCCGUUUCAACGCAUGAUGCGCAUAAUGCAUUAUUCAUCCUUGUUUAACGUUUGACAAACAACAAGGAUGAACGAUGCAUCAUGUGUACCAUGCGUGAAACGGAACGUACCCCUUGUGUUUCUCAUAGGCUGCGGUCGAGUUGCCGCUACAAAUGCUUCGAAGCGUUUGAUUAACCAAUCAAAAGAAUAAGAUUUAUAAAUUGACGAAUCAAAGAAUGCUUCGAAGUAUUCGUAGGGGCAACUUGACCGCACUCACAACUAUACGAAUGUAAGCGUUUAAACGUGUAGUCAAGAGUCGCACAUCGGUUGCGAAUGUGUUAACGAAAUUUUUGAACGUGGCUGAUGCAAUCGGCUGUAUUUAUAUCUGCUAUUCCUUUUUGCAUCCUCAACUUCAGCAUUUUUAUCUAUUACAUCACGGCAUUUUUCAUUACUUAUUACGCUCAUCAUAGCUCAACAUAUAUUAUUAUACCUCAUGGUCCUAUCGUCCCAUAUCUUCGGAGGGAUUAAGAAGAGAAGUGUAAUGUCAAGAGCUGCGUUCAGUUUCACGUAUUAUGCGCAUCAUACGUGGAACAAAACGCAGCUAAAUUGUUAAGCUGCUGCAAUGCAAUAUUGUAUCUGUUGAUUGUGUGGAUCGGUGCAAACCUCAAAGAGAGGUAGAUAGCUUUUUUGGAGAUUUUAAAUAUGAUAUAGUUACGAAA